rnacentral:rRNA from 1 species
CAAAGACGUUUUUGCUAACCUGUUAAAGGAGGCGAGCGUUUAAGGUAUGGGGAGUGAUUGAGGUGAAGUCGUAACAAGGUAGCUGUAGGUGAACCUGCAGAAGGAUCA